rnacentral:rRNA from 1 species
UACGGGGGGGGGCAAGCGUUGUUCGGAAUUACUGGGCGUAAAGCGUGCGUAGACGGUUAUCUAAGUCGGAUGUGAAAGCCCCGGGCUCAACCCUGGGAAUUGCAUUCGAGACUGAAUAGCUAGGGUACGGUAGAGGGAAGUGGAAUUUCCGGUGUAGCGGUGAAAUGCGUAGAUAUCGGAAGGAACAUCAGUGGCGAAAGCGGCUCUCUGGGACGGUACUGACGCUGAUGCACGAAAGCUAGGGGAGCAAACAGG